rnacentral:rRNA from 1 species
UACAGAGGGUGCGAGCGUUAUUCGGAAUUACUGGGCGUAAAGCGUGCGUAGACGGUUAUUUAAGUCGGAUGUGAAAGCCCCGGGCUCAACCUGGGAAUUGCAUUCGAGACUGAAUAGCUAGGGUGCGGUAGAGGGAAGCGGAAUUUCCGGUGUAGCGGUGAAAUGCGUAGAUAUCGGAAGGAACACCAGUGGCGAAAGCGGCUUCCUGGACCAGCACUGACGUUCAGGCACGAAAGCGUGGGGAGCAAACAGG